GCGGGUUUGGAUAAAAAAUAACGGGGCACACAAAGAGUUUAGGGGCGUUGGUGGUUUUGUUAUGAAUUUCGUCAAGGAAGUCAAAAGUAGACUAUUUUAAAGAUUAUCGAAGGUUUCAGAGAUCUUAAUAACAUCCAACAGUUAUGGCAGAUGAAGAGGCCAUGCACGGCGCAGAGGGUCCACUUGUCGCAGUGACAUUUCAGAGGAAUCCUCACCAAAAACAGAAGUACCUGGAGCCUCAACCCAAAGCACUGGGAGUAAAACAUCCUGAGCAAAUAAAUGAAGUGUGGUCUGGCAAUCCAUUUAAAUGUCACUAUAAUGUAUUAUAAUCUAUAAAAUGUUAUUCAUAAUAAUCUGUAGUUAAUUUUACUUCACCCCCCUCUCCUCCCCCCUCAGGUGACUCAGAUUGCCCUCAGUGUGUUAUAUAUCAGUUCUGUCAUUGUCAUUUUCACCAACGGCUUGAGCAUGUUGGUUCUAGAUCAGUGUUUGUGAUCAUAGCUGGUAGUUUGGCCAUAGCUGCACAGAAUCUCCAUUUUCCCACUGUAAGUUAUGCAAUUUGUAAGUGUACAAGUUAUUUGAGAAAAAAAGUGAGAUAUACUGUACCAGUGGCAUUUCUUCUCCUCUCCUCUUCUUUGCUCUCCUCUCUUCUGUAAGCGGUGCAUAACUGGCUGCAGGGAAGUCAGGCGCAGGAGAGCAGAAAUGGGUAACAGCCAGAGCACUUUAAUGAUGCAAAAAACAAACUGCACCCAGAACAGCAAAAUAUAGGUUGAAAUAACCCAUCGCAAACCAGUCUAAAUACAUAAAACACUUACAACAAACAAUUCCACACACAGACAUGGGGGGAACAUAGGGUUAUAUACACAAAAAAAUGACGGAACAGUUCCGUAAGGCAACACAGGCUAUACAGGAAAACAACCACCCACAAAACACAAGUGAAACAAACACAACUAAAUAUGGCCUCCAAUUAGAGACAACGACAACCAGCUGCCUUUAAUUUGAAGUCCUUGCCAAAAACCCAACAUAGAAAUAGAAAACUAGAUAUAAACAUAGAAAUAGAUAACAAAGAACCU